rnacentral:rRNA from 1 species
AGAGUUUGAUCCUGGCUCAGGAUGAACGCUAGCGGCAGGCUUAAUACAUGCAAGUCGAGGGGCAGCAUGGUGUAGCAAUACACUGAUGGCGACCGGCAAACGGGUGCGGAACACGUACGCAACCUUCCUUUUAGUGAGGGAUAGCCCAGGGAAACUUGGAUUAAUACCUCGUAAUAUUAUCGAAUGGCAUCGUUUGAUAA